AGUAACACGUAAACAACCUGCCUUCAGGAUGGGGACAACAGACGGAAACGACUGCUAAUACCGAAUAAGUUCCAAGGGCCGCAUGGCCCAUGGAAGAAAAGGUGGCCUCUACCUGUAAGCUAUCGCCUGAAGAGGGGUUUGCGUCUGAUUAGCUGGUUGGAGGGGUAACGGCCCACCAAGGCGACGAUCAGUAGCCGGUCUGAGAGGGUGAACGGCCACAUUGGGACUGAGACACGGCCCAG
rnacentral:rRNA from 1 species